UUGAGAGCUCUUUCUUGAUUCGGUGGGUGGUGGUGCAUGGCCGUUCUUAGUUGGUGGAGCGAUCUGUCUGGUUAAUUCCGAUAACGAACGAGACUCUGUCCUGCUAACUAGGCGGGUCUUUCGCCGCCCGCGGGUCAGCGUACGACGGUUCUGCCGUUGUGCCUGCCGCGGUCCACGGCGAAACGGUAUCCCCGAACGCGGUUGGCCGUCGUCAGCGGCGUUGGUGCCUUUGUCGUCGCUCGCUGGUGCUCGUCUCUCGGGGCGGGUUUCGGAGGGUGGCGCGAGGGUUUCUGGCGUCGUUCGGCGGCGGUUUUUCGCCGCCAAUAGGGCUACCGCCGGCUGAUAAAGCUUAAACUCUUCUUAGAGGGACAGGCGGCGGACAACAAUAGCCGCACGAGACUGAGCGAUAACAGGUCUGUGAUGCCCUUAGAUGUUCUGGGCCGCACGCGCGCUACACUGAAGGAAUCAGCGUGUAUUCAUUCCCGGGCCGAGAGGCUGUUACCGGGUAACCCGCUGAACCUCCUUCGUGCUAGGGAUCGGGGCUUGCAAUUGUUCCCCGUGAACGAGGAAUUCCCAGUAAGCGCGAGUCAUCAGCUCGCGUUGAUUACGUCCC
rnacentral:rRNA from 1 species